rnacentral:rRNA from 1 species
GGCGGCAUNCUUUACACAUGCAAGUCGAACGGUAACAGGGUGCUUGCACCGCUGACGAGUGGCGAACGGGUGAGUAAUGCGUCGGAACGUGCCGAGUAGUGGGGGAUAACGCAGCGAAAGUUGUGCUAAUACCGCAUACGUACUGAGGUAGAAAGUGGGGGACCUUCGGGCCUCACGCUAUUCGAGCGGCCGACGUCUGAUUAGCUAGUAGGUGAGGUAAAGGCUCACCUAGGCGACGAUCAGUAGCGGGUCUGAGAGGAUGAUCCGCCACACUGGGACUGAGACACGGCCCAGACUCCUACGGGAGGCAGCAGUGGGGAAUUUUGGACAAUGGGCGAAAGCCUGAUCCAGCCAUGCCGCGUGUCUGAAGAAGGCCUUCGGGUUGUAAAGGACUUUUGUCAGGGAGGAAAUCCCUAGUGCUAAUAACACUGGGGGAUGACAGUACCUGAAGAAUAAGCACCGGCUAACUACGUGCCAGCA